UGAGAAUAUAACUAAUAAUCAUGAUAGUCGCAUUUAACUUUAAUUGUCUAAAAUCAAGAGCAAAAACCACCAAUGCUCAAAGACUGAAAAGAUAAGAAGUAGCAAAGUUUUCAAUUCAAAGGGAAGCAUAUGAGCAUUGCUUGGAGAGAACAUUGUCCAUAUCAGUUACAUUUCGAAGGAAACAUGCCUAAUGUAUUACAGCCAAACAUUAAUGACCUGUCUUUUAUUGAAACAAAGCUGUUGAAAGGGCAGCAGUAGGUGAGAAGAUCAUGGCACCACUAGGCGCAUUGGAAGUCUGUUGGGACAGAUUUACCACAGUAAUUCAAAAGCAAGCUUAAGGAGACUGGCACAUUAAGAUUGAUGCCCAAAACGUUGGCCUUAAUGGCAGUGCAAAGACACACAGCAGCAUCAACAUCAGAAAGACCUGCAAUGAGGCUACAACAAGGGGUCUUUGAUUGGGUCCCCACAACAAGGUGCACCAAGUCAUUCAACAAAUUGCCACAUACCCCUAGCUUAAGGGUAUCUUUAGGGCAAGAGGCUUUAGGAGGGCUGGGGCUUGGGGUUGGGGUUGGGGUUUGGGGAGGGUAUUUUGGGGUUGGGGUUGAGGGAGGAGGUUGUUUUGGGGUUGGGAUUGGGGUUGGAGGAGGUUGUUUUGGGGUUGGGGUUGGAGUUGGGGGAGGUUGUUUUGGGGUUGGGGUUGAGGGAGAAGGUUGUUUUGGGGUUGGAGUUGGGGUUGAGGGGGGAGGGUGUUUCGGUUUUGG
rnacentral:lncRNA from 1 species